GGAUCAUUACAAGACGAGUCCUCGCGGCUCCCACACCACUGUGAACGCACCUCCGUGUUGCUUCGGCGGCCGGCCCCCUCCCCGGGGGUCGCCGUGGCCCGCCCGCUGGGCGGCCGCCGGGCGGCCAGCACAAAACUUAUUCUGUACACUACCAUCUGAGUAAUCACUAAAUGAAUCAAAACUUUCAACAACGGAUCUCUUGGUUCUGGCAUCGAUGAAGAACGCAGCGAAAUGCGAUAAGUAAUGUGAAUUGCAGAAUUCAGUGAAUCAUCGAAUCUUUGAACGCACAUUGCGCCCGCCAGCAUUCUGGCGGGCAUGCCUGUCCGAGCGUCAUUUCAACCCUCAGCCCCCCGGGGCUGGUGUUGGGGCGCUGCCCCCCCCGCGGGCGCAGCCUCCUAAAGUCAUCGGCGGACCCCCCGAGGCCCCGAGCGCAGUAGCACUACUCUCGCUCCGGGCGCCGCGGUGGCUCCUGCCGCCAAGCCGUCCCCCGGGACACAACCGAAAAUUUGACCUCGGAUCAGGUAGGAAUACCCGCUGAACUUAAGCAUAUCAAUAAGCGGAGGAAAAGAAACCAACAGGGAUUGCCCCAGUAACGGCGAGUGAAGCGGCAACAGCUCAGAUUUGAAAUCCGGCAGCGAUGCCCGAGUUGUAAUCUGCAGAGGAUGCUUUCGGCGAGGCGCCUUCCGAGUUCCCUGGAACGGGACGCCACAGA
rnacentral:rRNA from 1 species